rnacentral:RNase_P_RNA from 1 species
GGAGUAAAUUAUACAGUCGCAUGCUAAGGCAUGAGGAAAGUCCGAGCUCCAUAGAGCAGGGUGCCGGGUAAUACCCGGUGAGGGUGACCUUAAGGAUAGUGCAACAGAAAGAAACCGCCGCGCAAGNNUAACGGUAAGGGUAGAUAGAUGACUGUUUAAUACAAAACUCGGCUUAUGUAUUUACUCCCAUU